GGUGGACUAUACCAUUAUAUUUGUCCCCUUUUUUCCUUGAUUGUGGUGGAAUGUAAUUAUAUGUUUUUACUGUUUUUCUCUUAUUAUGUUUUUUGUCCGUAUAUAUUAUAAACGAUGGAUGAGAAUUUCUUCUAUAUAAAUUGAACAAGCAUGUAAGAUCAAUACGAAAGAACAUGAGGACAUAUGGAUUCAGAUAUCCUCCUGCAUUUACGAUGUAUGUACCAUAUGAAAUCCCGUCUUUCAGAUGACAUCACUAUCCCAUAUUGAGUCUUGACCCGCAAGGAUACAUAGGUGAAAUUUACGGCGUGCAUCACGGACAGAACUUUGAGUGAUAGUUCUGGUCUGAACAUGCAGCAACCGUCACAUAGAGGCUUGGAACACUUACGCAUUACCGAUAGGAGGAUGAUUACGUGGAACAAUUACACACAUCUGCAAAUAAUUUUGCAAUUUAUUCAACUAUAAAACUGGAAGCCGGCUGACCAUGGAUUAUCACAUUUUUUAUCCACCUGAGG